rnacentral:rRNA from 1 species
AAUAUUGGACAAUGGGCGAAAGCCUGAUCCAGCCAUGCCGCGUGUGUGAAGAAGGUCUUAGGAUUGUAAAGCACUUUAAGUUGGGAGGAAGGGGUUGAAGCUAAUUCUUUCAAUCUUUGACGUUACAAACAGAAUAAGCACCGGCUAACUCUGUGCCAGCAGCCGCGGUAAUACAGAGGGUGCAAGCGUUAAUCGGAAUUACUGGGCGUAAAGCGAGCGUAGGUGGAUCAGUAAGAUGGAAGUGAAAUCCCCGGGCUUAACCUGGGAACUGCUUUCAUAACUGCUGAGCUAGAGUACGGUAGAGGGUAGUGGAAUUUCCUGUGUAGCGGUGAAAUGCGUAGAUAUAAGAAAGAACACCAGUGGCGAAGGCGACUACCUGAACUGAGACUGACACUGAGGUGCGAAAGCGUGGGGAGCAAACAGG